rnacentral:rRNA from 1 species
UACGGAGGGUGCAAGCGUUAUCCGGAUUCACUGGGUUUAAAGGGUGCGUAGGCGGGCAGGUAAGUCCGUGGUGAAAUCUCUGAGCUUAACUCAGAAACUGCCAUGGAUACUAUUUGUCUUGAAUGUUGUGGAGGUAAGCGGAAUAUGUCAUGUAGCGGUGAAAUGCUUAGAUAUGACAUAGAACACCGAUAGCGGAGGCAGCUUGCUACACAGUCAUUGACACUGAGGCACGAAAGCGUGGGGAUCAAACAGG